rnacentral:rRNA from 1 species
UGGGGAAUUUUGGACAAUGGGCGAAAGCCAUGCAUCCAGCCAAUGCCGCGUGUGUGAAGAAGGCCUUCGGGUUGUAAAGCACUUUUGUCCGGAAAGAAAUCCUUGGCUCUAAUACAGUCGGGGGAUGACGGUACCGGAAGAAUAAGCACCGGCUAACUACGUGCCAGCAGCCGCGGUAAUACGUAGGGUGCAAGCGUUAAUCGGAAUUACUGGGCGUAAAGCGUGCGCAGGCGGUUUGCUAAGACCGAUGUGAAAUCCCCGGGCUCAACCUGGGAACUGCAUUGGUGACUGGCAGGCUAGAGUAUGGCAGAGGGGGGUAGAAUUCCACGUGUAGCAGUGAAAUGCGUAGAGAUGUGGAGGAAUACCGAUGGCGAAGGCAGCCCCCUGGGCCAAUACUGACGCUCAUGCACGAAAGCGUGGGGAGCAAACAGGAUUAGAUACCCUGGUAGUCCACGCCCUAAACGAUGUCAACUAGUUGUUGGGGAUUCAUUUCCUUAGUAACGUAGCUAACGCGUGAAGUUGACCGCCUGGGGAGUACGGUCGCAAGAUUAAAACUUAAAUGAAUUGACGGGGU